rnacentral:rRNA from 1 species
UACGUAGGGGGGCAAGCGUUGUCCGGAAUCAUUGGGCGUAAAGAGCGUGUAGGCGGCCCGAUAAGUCCGCUGUGAAAAGUCCAGGGCUCAACCCCUGGAAUGCCGGUGGAUACUGUCGGGCUCGAAUCCGGAAGAGGUGAGUGGAAUUCCUGGUGUAGCGGUGAAAUGCGCAGAUAUCAGGAGGAACACCGGUGGCGAAGGCGGGUCUCUGGGCCGAUACUGACGCUGAGGAGCGAAAGCGUGGGGAGCGAACAGG